rnacentral:rRNA from 1 species
UGAGGAAUAUUGGUCAAUGGGCGAGAGCCUGAACCAGCCAAGUAGCGUGCAGGAAGACGGCCCUAUGGGUUGUAAACUGCUUUUAUACGGGGAUAAAGUGGGCCACGUGUGGCUUAUUGCAGGUACCGUAUGAAUAAGGACCGGCUAAUUCCGUGCCAGCAGCCGCGGUAAUACGGAAGGUCCGGGCGUUAUCCGGAUUUAUUGGGUUUAAAGGGAGCGCAGGCCGCCGGGCAAGCGUGUUGUGAAAUGCAGUCGCUCAACGUCUGCACUGCAGCGCGAACUGCCCAGCUUGAGUGCGCGCAACGUUGGCGGAAUUCGCCGUGUAGCGGUGAAAUGCUUAGAUAUGGCGAAGAACUCCGAUUGCGAAGGCAGCUGACGGGUGCGUAACUGACGCUCAUGCUCGAAAGUGCGGGUAUCGAACAGGAUUAGAUACCCUGGUAGU